UAGAAUUUUAUAUUAACUUUACCUAGCGGUUAAUGCUGGUUUUUUGUUAAUAUUUGGUUGGGAGGAUUAUUAAAUUUAACAAACUUUAUAUCAUUAUAAACUUUGAUUUAAGAAAAUAUAAUGACCUUCAAUUUGAAAUAGUUAGAGUAAAUUACCUUAGGGAUAACAGCGUAAUAUUUUUUUAUAGACCUUAUAGAAAAAAAUGGUUGCGACCUCGAUGUUGAAUUAAGAUAAAUUUUAAAUGCAGGAGUUUAAUAAUUAAGUCUG
rnacentral:rRNA from 1 species